GAUGAACGCUGGCGGCGUGCUUAACACAUGCAAGUCGAACGAGAAGUGAAGACGGAAACCUUCGGGCGGAAGGCUUUAUUUCGAGUGGCGGACGGGUGAGUAACGCGUGGGUAACCUGCCUCAUACAGGGGGAUAACAGUUGGAAACGACUGUUAAUACCGCAUAAGACCACAGCACCGCAUGGUGCGGGGGUAAAAACUCCGGUGGUAUGAGAUGGACCCGCGUUCGAUUGGCCAGUUGGCGGGGUAACGGCCCACCAAAGCGACGAUCGAUAGCCGAUCUGAGAGGAUGACCGGCCACAUUGGGACUGAGACACGGCCCAAACUCCUACGGGAGGCAGCAGUGGGGAAUAUUGCACAAUGGGGGAAACCCUGAUGCAGCGACGCCGCGUGAGUGAAGAAGUAUUUCGGUAUGUAAAGCUCUAUCAGCAGGGAAGAAAAUGACGGUACCUGAGUAAGAAGCCCCGGCUAACUACGUG
rnacentral:rRNA from 1 species